UACGUAGGUGGCAAGCGUUGUCCGGAUUUAUUGGGCGUAAAGGGUGCGUAGGCGGCGGAGUAAGUUGGGUGUGAAAUCCCGAGGCUCAACCUCGGAAUUGCAUUCAAUACUGCUUCGCUCGAGUACUGGAGAGGAGGCUGGAAUUUACGGUGUAGCAGUGAAAUGCGUAGAUAUCGUAAGGAAGGCCGGUGGCGAAAGCGAGCCUCUGGACAGUUACUGACGCUGAUGCACGAAGGCCAGGGGAGCAAACGGG
rnacentral:rRNA from 1 species